rfam:Schistosoma mattheei strain Denwood, Zambia genome assembly, scaffold: SMTD_contig0007785
AUUUGGCUGACGAGUCCCAAAUAGGACGAAACGGACGUCUUGGAU